rnacentral:sRNA from 1 species
GUUUCUGGACACGCCCUCUUCAAAAGGACAGCCAGAGGUCCCUUCCUCUGAGGCUUUGGACGCUUGCCUGCUUCUAUUUCUCAGGAACAGAUAAGCCUAAUCCUUCGAGAGAAAGGCCUAAGCCCAUGAAUCAUUAAACAAUACGAAUACCACAGGGCAGUUAGUUUUCAGGCACCGUCUACGUUUAGGGUCCUUGGAGGCCACAGGACAUGAGAUCCUCUGAUGGGUGGGAAGUUGUGAUGAGUUACUAAGAGAAGGUAUGGUGAGCUCUUAGUUCAGUACUUGGCUUAUAAUAAAUGCUCAAGGAGUGAGAAUUCAUGGUGCUGCGGUCGAAAGCUUACACAUGAGUUCUGAGAGUGAACAUCUCCAGCCCUCAAAAUUGUUGUCCUGUCCUACUCUGCUGUUACAACCUAGCCAUCGCAUGUUGACAAACUCCUAUCAGGAAUGCACAGCAGGCUUCACGUUAUGUUUCUGAGAUUUACUAUGUAGACCCUCGGAGACCACAUGUGUGGUAGUACACUGAGGAGGAUCAGGAAUCCAGUGUUAGCCUGAGCUAUGUAAGGAGAAACCUACUUCAAAGCAAACAAGGACCGGUGGGCGGAGCAACCUAAGUGCUUCGUUUUACUCUUUACUGGUCCAUAUUGCAGUUGUCGAGAAAAGUAAUCUGCAUUUCUUCUGGGUGUGAAAGAAAGGACUACAAACCAGAAGAACUUGCAAAGUCAUUACUAGCCCAUUAAGAUUGUGACAUCUGAUCCCAGCCAGUGGGGAAAACACAAUCACCACCUUCCUCAGAAUAAAAGCCAGGAACUUCCUGCCCAGGUGUGUCUCUCUCCCCCAGCACACUCUAUUAUCAAGAGUAAACGGUUGUCCAGAUACUCAAUUGGAGCAAUGAUUUUUUUGUGUGUGUGACCCCGAACUUAUUUCUAGCAUUAGCAGGCUACCCGCUGUAUUUUCUUGUAAGGUAAAGUAGAUUGAAAGUCUCUAUUUUUAUUUUAACUCCCUCAAUUACUGUGGUUUUGUUUCCACGCCAAGGAGUCACUAAGUGACUUCAUCUUAAGGAUGUGCUCUGUGACAGAGGUAAACAAGUGCCGAGAAAUCAGUUUGGACUGAGGACAGGAGAGGCACAUGCCUUAAGCAUUGUACCCCUCAUUGGCAUGAACAAGAGUGUGUCUAACGAAGGACCAAAAGGAAGCUUUGGGUUUUGUGUCUGAGGCAUGAGUGUAAGGCACUACCUUACACUUGAGUAAGGUAGAAUUGACAAAACCGAGAAACUUACAAGACAUCUUUUCUUAAAAUACCACUCAGUAGAUAUUUCUCAUAUAUCUAGCAUGUGUCAGUUUGAGGACAUGCAGGCAAAUUCCCAGUUAGUGCACCCUGCUCCCUGUUCCGUUGUAACCUGCAGUCUAAUGGAGGAAGCCAAUGCCAGUGGUAGAACAGAAGCAAGGCAAAUUAUCCUGUGGUUGUUGUUACAAAGGGAAGCUACAGAUAUGUGAAACCCACAAGUGGCUAAUAAAAUUAAAGGAGGAAAAUGGCUUAAUCUGCAGUCCUACAAGAUGACUUUGGGCAUUAUCUCACACGGCUUAAGGAGAGCCACAAUGAAUAAAAGGCAAGAAGAUGUGUCGAAACAGUGUGUGAGCCUCCAUCUUGCCUUAGUUAGAAAGGAAACAAAAACACUGCCAUGACAAUGAUAACAAGCACUAAGACCAAAAAAAAGAGAUAGUCGUUCCCAAGGAUUGGGGAUUCAAAGGGAGAUUGGUGCAUUGGGACGAUGUGAGGGUUGGGAUUGAAAAGGGAAAUUUAUUAAUAACCCCACAGGUUUGAGUCUAACAAAACUGAUGCCAUUAAUGAACCCAUUGUCUAGUGCGGUCAUGUAAGAUUGGCUGGAGAGCUGCUGUGUUAUAAUAUUUGCAAGUAUUAAACUGGUAGGUGAUAGAGGAAAAGGAUAGAUAUACUACUUUUGUUUAGGCUGUACGGAUGGGUAGUUUGACUCUGAGAUAACACUUUGCUUAAAGUUGGGGUGUUCGUAUUGUUAUAAAUGGAUGCGUCUUAGUAGUUCUUACAUAAUUUCUUGGCCAGUUAAUUAGGAAUUUUAAGCUUCUAUUACUGGAUUAAUGUAGUGUUAUUAAUGUACUGUUUGGUUUAAGUUAUAUUUAUAGUAUAUAAAUCUUCAAAUAAUUGGGCAUCAAGUGAAAGGAGGUAGAUGUAUAACCAUCAAAGUAUUGACUAGUGCAAAAGAUACCUUUGUAUUAUUAAAGUAGCAUGUGAGGUCUUUAUGGUGUGGCUAUCAUGUAGGAACCUAGGGUCAUAACCAGUAUACUAAGUCCACCUAGGACAAUAGUGAUGCUACAUUGUCCCAUAGAUGAGAAGAAGGUAACCUGUGAUAGACAAACUGAUGGCUUUGACUAUGGCUUUGUUCAUCCUUUGCAAGACAAAGCAAGGAGAGCUUGUGACUGUGGGCUAUCAGGACUGUGGCUCCAGUAAAAUGCAGUGACGUUUGGCUAAGAACGACUGUAAUUAGCCGUAUAUGACUUGACAAGCUCACAAAGGGCGAUCUUAAGUCUAUGUGGUUUAGACAGGUAGUGCUUGGUAUCUGUGGAUCCUGGUGAUUGAACUUGCUGAUCAGAUUAUUAGAUGAGCAGCUUGGAAACUCAGGAGUAGCUUAUCAAGCAAUUUUAAGUUCAAUAUAGAUUAAAGCUGUGCGUAUUCAAUCAGUAUGCAAAACGGAAAAGGAAAAGGACGUCCCUACUAUUCAGCUUGGCUCCUUCAGUUGGUGAUAAUAAUUAAGUUGGAAUUAUGUUACCUUGAAGAAAAUAUAGAAUAGGAUUAGGUAUUUUGGCAAUAAAUGCCAUGAUUAAAAAUAUCCCUAAAAACUGGGUGUGGUGGCACAUAACUGAAUUCUCAUUUAGAGACAUGAAAAUGAGGUGUCCAAGGCCACCUUUGGCUAUGUGGUUAGUUUGAGUCCACCAGAAUCCAUGAGAUUCAAUUUCAAAGCACAAACAAGUCAGACACGGUGACCCAUGCCUUUAAUCCCAGCACUCAGGGGACAGAAGUCUAGGCUAACCUUGUCUACAAAUCCAUGAAGCAAGGGCUACACAGAGAAACCCUGUCUGAAAAAACAAACAAGCAAACAAACAAAUAAUACAAACAACACGCCUUAAAGCAACUAAUAUUUGCAGACUAAUUAAUAUUGAUUAAUAAUUAAUGUUGAGUAUUUGUCUUAUUGCUGUAACAAAAUGCUUAAAAUAAAGAAGAAGAAUUUCUGGGCAUAGUGGCUCAUCCAUUUAAUCUCAGCACUAGAGAGAUGGAGACAAUAGAUCUUUGAGUUCAAGGCCAGCCUGGUCUACAUAG